rnacentral:lncRNA from 1 species
UGACCCCUUUUAAUGGCCUCCGAAUUUUCAUUCAAAAUUCGAAAUUUAUCUUCAGAAAACCUUCUUUAGUUGGCGCAUGCAAAGGAAUAGGAACAACCCAAAUCAGAUCUCAACCAAAUCUGAUUUAAAUUCAAAUUUUAAACAUAUGUGCAAGAAGGGAGGAAUUUGAAAUCCAUGCAGCAGAAUUUUCCUUCCGCUUGUCGCAUAUAUUUCAUUUGAAAUUCGAAUUUAAAUGAUUCAGAGGUUCACACGCCAGCUAGGGAAGUUAUUUGAUGUAUGAAAUCAUUUAAUAUAUUGCUUAAUGUUUGAAUUC